GUGAGGAAUUUUCCGCAAUGGGCGAAAGCCUGACGGAGCAAUGCCGCGUGAAGGAUGAAGGCCUAUGGGUUGUAAACUUCUUUUCUCAGAAAAGAAUUAUGACGGUAUCUGAGGAAUAAGCAUCGGCUAACUCUGUGCCAGCAGCCGCGGUAAGACAGAGGAUGCAAGCGUUAUCCGGAAUGAUUGGGCGUAAAGCGUCUGUAGGUUGUUUAAAAAGUAUGCUGUCAAAGAUUAGGGCUUAACCCUAGAUAGGCAGAAUAAACUUUUAAGCUAGAGUUUGGUAGAGGCAGAGGGAAUUCCCGGUGGAGCGGUGAAAUGCGUAGAUAUCGGGAGGAACACCAAAGGCGAAGGCACUCUGCUGGGCCAAUACUAACACUGAGAGACGAAAGCGAGGGGAGCAAAUGGGAUUAGAAACCCGGGUAGUCC
rnacentral:rRNA from 1 species